rnacentral:lncRNA from 1 species
AACAUAGCGUGCGUUCUCUCGAUGGGCGUGAAGCUCGCUGGCAAAUGUGUCAUCUGGGGUGCCGAUUUUGGUUACGUAGGAAAGAAUGAAAUUAGCCUUAGUUACCGUCACAUUUAUUGUCGUCGUGAUUAUAGUCGCGGAAGCGGAGAUCACUAAAGCAAGAAAGGGACCAAACAGAGGGGUCCAACCAGGGAACGCACGACAGCAGAACCGGCCGCGAAAACCGGGAGGACAAAAACGCCCCGUCGGAAAGCCUGGGUCUCGGCAAACGGGUGAGUAUAGUAAAGUCAGCUUGUGUCGAGAUGACUCGACAAGCAAUACUUUCUGCUGCGUAUAAAUCAGCGAACAAAAUUAGUUAGUGUAGUCUUGCUUUUGAUUGUA